rnacentral:rRNA from 1 species
AGAGUUUGAUCCUGGCUCAGGAUGAACGCUAGCGGCAGGCUUAAUACAUGCAAGUCGAGGGGCAGCAUAGGACUUCGGUUCUGAUGGCGACCGGCGCACGGGUGAGUAACGCGUACACUACCUACCUUUAACAGAGGGAUAGCCCUGGGAAACUGGGAUUAAUACCACAUAGUAUUGCAUAUUUUAUUUUUAUGCAAUUAAAGCUCCGGCGGUUAAAGAUGGGUGUGCGUUAGAUUAGCUAGUUGGUAAGGUAAUGGCUUACCAAGGCUACGAUCUAUAGGGGGCGUGAGAGCGUGGACCCCCACACGGGUACUGAGACACGGACCCGACUCCUACGGGAGGCAGCAGUAAGGAAUAUUGGACAAUGGGCGCAAGCCUGAUCCAGCCAUCCCGCGUGAAGGAUGACGGCCCUAUGGGUUGUAAACUUCUUUUAUUAGGGAAGAAACCUUUUCAUUUAUGAAGAGCUGACGGUACCUAAAGAAUAAGCACCGGCUAAUUCCGUGCCAGCAGCCGCGGUAAUACGGAAGGUGCAAGCGUUAUCCGGAAUCACUGGGUUUAAAGGGUGCGUAGGCGGUUGCGUAAGUCAGAAGUGAAAGCUCACAGCUUAACUGUGGAAUUGCUUUUGAUACUGCGCGACUAGAAUUAGGUUGAGGUUGGCGGAAUGUGACAUGUAGCGGUGAAAUGCAUAGAUAUGUCAUAGAACACCAAUUGCGAAGGCAGCUAGCUAGGCAUAUAUUGACGCUGAGGCACGAAAGCGUGGGGAGCGAACAGGAUUAGAUACCCUGGUAGUCCACGCCCUAAACG